CGGAUGAGGAGAGCUUGCUCUCUGAUUCAGCGGCGGACGGGUGAGUAAUGCCUAGGAAUCUGCCUGAUAGUGGGGGACAACGUUUCGAAAGGAACGCUAAUACCGCAUACGUCCUACGGGAGAAAGCAGGGGACCUUCGGGCCUUGCGCUAUCAGAUGAGCCUAGGUCGGAUUAGCUAGUUGGUGAGGUAAUGGCUCACCAAGGCGACGAUCCGUAACUGGUCUGAGAGGAUGAUCAGUCACGCUGGAACUGAGACACGGUCCAGACUCCUACGGGAGGCAGCAGUGGGGAAUAUUGGACAAUGGGCGAAAGCCUGAUCCAGCCAUGCCGCGUGUGUGAAGAAGGUCUUCGGAUUGUAAAGCACUUUAAGUUGGGAGGAAGGGCAUUAACCUAAUACGUUAGUGUUUUGACGUUACCGACAGAAUAAGCACCGGCUAACUUCGUGCCAGCAGCCGCGGUAAUACGAAGGGUGCAAGCGUUAAUCGGAAUUACUGGGCGUAAAGCGCGCGUAGGUGGUUUGUUAAGUUGAAUGUGAAAGCCCCGGGCUCAACCUGGGAACUGCAUCCAAAACUGGCAAGCUAGAGUAUGGCAGAGGGUGGU
rnacentral:rRNA from 1 species